UUAAAAGAUAAGCUAAAUAAGCUAACGGGUUCAUACCCCGUUUAUGAAGGGUCCGGUCCUUCUCUUUUUAA
rnacentral:tRNA from 1 species